GCCCUUAGAGUUUGAUCCUGGCUCAGAACGAACGCUGGCGGUAGGCCUAACACAUGCAAGUCGNGCGAUCUCUUCGGNGNUAGCGGCGGWCGGGUGNGUAACGCGUGGGAACAUACCCAGAGGUACGGAAUAACGUUUGGAAACGAACGCUAAUACCGUAUACGCCCUACGGGGGAAAGGUCCGCCGCAGAAUGAGGAGUCCGCGUCCGAUUAGCUAGUUGGUAGGGUAAUGGCCUACCAAGGCGACGAUCGGUAGCUGGUCUGAGAGGAUGAUCAGCCACACUGGGACUGAGACACGGCCCAGACUCCUACGGGAGGCAGCAGUGGGGAAUAUUGGACAAUGGGGGCAACCCUGAUCCAGCAAUGCCGCGUGUGUGAUGAAGGCCCUAGGGUUGUAAAGCACUUUCAAUGGUGAAGAUGAUGACGGUAACCAUAGAAGAAGCCCCGGCUAACUUCGUGCCAGCAGCCGCGGUAAUAAGGGCG
rnacentral:rRNA from 1 species